rnacentral:rRNA from 1 species
AUUGAACGCUGGCGGCAGGCCUAACACAUGCAAGUCGAGCGGAUGAAGGGAGCUUGCUCCUGGAUUCAGCGGCGGACGGGUGAGUAAUGCCUAUGAAUCUGCCUGGUAGUGGGGGAUAACGUCCGGAAACGGGCGCUAAUACCACCUACGUCCUGCGGGAGAAAGUGGGGGAUCUUCGGACCUCACGCUAUCAGAUGAGCCUAGGUCGGAUUAGCUAGUUGGUGGGGUAAAGGCCUACCAAGGCGACGAUCCGUAACUGGUCUGAGAGGAUGAUCAGUCACACGGGAACUGAGACACGGUCCAGACUCCUACGGGAGGCAGCAGUGGGGAAUAUUGGACAAUGGGCGAAAGCCUGAUCCAGCCAGGCCGCGUGUGUGAAGAAGGUCUUCGGAUUGUAAAGCACUUUAAGUUGGGAGGAAGGGCAGUAAGUUAAUACCUUGCUGUUUUGACGUUACCAACAGAAUAAGCACCGGCUAACUUCGUG